rnacentral:rRNA from 1 species
AGCGUAGACGGCGCAGCAAGUCUGAUGUGAAAGGCAGGGGCUUAACCCCUGGACUACAUUGGAAACUGCUGUGCUUGAGUGCCGGAGGGGUAAGCGGAAUUCCUAGUGUAGCGGUGAAAUGCGUAGAUAUUAGGAGGAACACCAGUGGCGAAGGCGGCCUACUGGGCACCAACUGACGCUGAGGCUCGAAAAGCAUGGGUAGCAAACA